rnacentral:tRNA from 1 species
CGGGCUGUAGUAUACCGGCAGUACGCACCCUUGGGGUGGGUGUAGACCGGGUUCGAUUCCCGGCAGCCCGACCA